ensembl:lncRNA novel transcript
GAGAUGAGCUCAGCGCCCCAGAGCCCGCCGGGCUCCAGGCCCACCUUGGAGACCCCCGCUCCAGCCGCCUGCCCCUCCUCUCCACUUCCCUGGCUGCUGUCAUGAUUGCCAUAAACUGAGUGGCCUGAAACAACAGAGUCAGAAAUCAAGGCAUCUGCAGGGCCAUGCUGUCUCCGAAGGCUCGGAAUAUGGACCCCUCCUUGCCUCCUCCUAGACUCUGUUUCCCUCCUGAAAUUCCAAGGAUGCUAGGAUUCAAUGCAUUUAAGGAGCAGACAACAAAGACGAUCACAAAGGAUCAAACUCACAUUCAUGGAAACAUCUGCGGAACUGUAACAUCAAGGCGUUUCCCUCCUAAGAGCAUCAAAACCUCUCCAGGCUGGGCGCGGUGGCUCACGCCUGUAAUCCCAGCACUUUGGGAGGCCAAGGCAGGUGGAUCACGAGGUCAGGAGUUCAAGACCAGCCUGACCAACAUGGUGAUACCUCGUCUCUACUAAAAAUACAAAAAUUAAUCAGGCGUUGUGGUGGGCACCUGUAAUCCCAGCUACUCAGGAGGCUGAGGCAGAAGAAUCGCUUGAACCCAGGAGGCAGAGGUUGCAGUGAGCCGAGAUGGCGCCACCGCACUCCAGCCUGGGGACAGAGCGAGACUCUCUCAAAACAACAACAACAACAGCAACAAAAACAAAAAAAAACCUCUCCAGGAGCGAAUGUGAGAAAAUCUACAAGAUCUGUAAGGACUGAGAAAAGAGAACAGGCAGCCCUGCCUUUCAUCAGGCUAAGAAGACAGACGAGUAACCCACUGUGCAUUCACAGGACACGUGGUUUUCCCCAAGGUCUUGCCAAAGCUUCGAAACGCCACAACGCCCGCUUGACAGAUGGACUCCUGCUUUCUAACCAAGAACGCCCUAGACCCACUUGCUGCACUCAUUUAUGACUGGGGGAACGCAACAACCAAGGCAUCCUUGCCUCCUGACGGCCCAUCACCCUCAGUGAACCCCUACUUCUUCUGAGCCCCCCUCUAAACAACAACCAGUGCAGAUGCGACUCCCACUUCCCUGAUACAUUAUCAAUUAUUAAAACUUCAUACUUCCAUGAGGCCUCAG